AUGGCGUUUUUGGUCGUCCGCUUGUGCUUUGUUCAGUUAUUCGUAAUAAACCAUGUGUAUAAACUAUAAAGUGCUUUUAAUGACAACAAUAUUAUUAUAUUAAAUAACCAAUACUGAAUUUAUUAACAUCGACGCAAGAAAAGAAGAAGCUUUCCACUAGUUGUUUCUUGGGACAAAUGGGAAAUUAAACUGGUAUGAAUUUUUACGAAGAAAUGAAAUGAAAAUAAUCAGAAACGUAAAUAUAAAAGCAUUUAACCGAGAAACUAAAAAGCUUCCUACCACUUUGAAAGUUCCUUAGUACAAAUAAAAAACUAAACUGGCAUGUCAUUUUAUGAGCAUUUAACCAAGAAACUAAAAUGCUUCCUACCAAGUUGAAGGUUCCUUAGUACAAAUGAAAAACUAAAUUAGCAUAUCAUUUUAUUAGGAAAUUAUAUGAAAUGAGUCAGAAAUGUAAUUAUAUAUGCAUUUAACCAAGAAAAAACUGUCCAUCAAGUUUUAAACUGUCAUGUUAUUUUAUGAGGAAAGGAAAUGAAAUGAAUCAGAAAGGUAAAUAUAAAAGCAUUUAACCAAAAAACUAAAAAACUUCCCACCAAGUUUUAACUUCCUUAGGACAAAUAAAAAAUUAAACUGACAUUUUAUUUUAUGAAAAAAGGAAAUGAAAUGAAUCAGAAAUGUAAAUAUAAAAGAUAUUAGGAUCACUUACUCGGAAACCACUCAUCGAGUUUUACUUUCUUCAGCCACUCGAACCAAUUGAUUACGUCAAUCUCCUAGCACAGCAAAAUAAUAGGAGAUCUCGGGUUCGAACUCUUAGAACAUUAAUAAAGUCUGUAUUAAUUUGGAUAUUGACAUAAGGACGAGUUGCUGCCCCAGUUGUGGACUUUCAUAAGUAAUUUUAUAUAUUUAGUUUGCAAAUUUGUAACAAUGUAAUUUAUU